AUUCACCUUGAAGACAUAAACACUCCUGUUAAGAACUGCCUAUGGGAGGGGCUCCAGGAACUGAGAGCAAAUCUCGCUCGCAGGCAGGAAGAAAACAGAGAGCGCGGUCCUACAGCCUUAAGGAAGAGGACUUCAAACCUUGAUUUCAGCCUGAGAGACCUAGAGUAGAGAAUCCAGCUAUGCUGGCACUGCUUACAACAGGCACAUGAUAGAAAUCAACGUUGGAUCUCAGUCUCCAAAUCACCGCCAGUCUCCCUGAGCCCUCCCUCUUAUCUGCGCCUGUCUCAGUCACUGAGGAUGGGUCCUCAGUGUGAAGUGCAACCAAGAAGUGGAUGCGAAGCUGGUGCUCUGCCAGUGCGCUGCCGCAUGGCUCUCUAGGGUCUGACCCAGCACACCCAGCAGGUCUUUUAGAUCAGACUCCAGUCAUUCAUUAAAACCGCUAAAACCAAGGACUUGCCAGCAAACUCCUGAGCAAGAAGAAGAUUCCAACUGGGACAGAAAUAAAUGGAAAACAUGUAUCCGGACCUCCCAGGGAUCCCAGGCCAAGUCGUGUAGUUCUGUCGAUGGAGGCAAUUAUAAUCCUAAUGAAUAUGCUUGAUGCUCACUUACAAAGAAACUGAGCUCAGAGAAAAUUUUUUCCCUUUUGUUUACAUGUACACACCAGCUGGCUCCCAAAUGAGUCUCACACACACAAAUGUCCCUGAUGCUAUUUUCAAAAGAAAUAAUAAUAGUACCAGGGGCUAUCAAAUAAAAACUCUUUCUCAGACCUGGAGUGAAUUGAAGGAAUUACAGUGUCCAAGGGUCACAUACCUAUUUUUUCACAAAAAUUCAGGCAGGUACAAUAAACCAAUAAGCAACACCUGUCCAAGCUGGAGGCAGCAGAAUUUACUUACCAGACAAUAACAUCCAUAAAUCCACACACUGCCCAGAUCUUCAUUUUUCUCGGCACAGAAACCUCAAGGACUAACUUUUAUGACCUGGAUUCUAGUAGGGCUGACUAAUGGCCUAAGAGAUCAGAUCCUAAAUCCUGGAAUUUAUAGAUGGUACCUUAUAAAGAAAAACAGAUCUUUGCAAAUGUGAUUAA